UACGCAGGGUGCAAGCGUUGUCCGGAAUUAUUGGGCGUAAAGAGCUCGUAGGCGGUCUGUCGCGUCGAAUGUGAAACCCCGAGGCUCAACCUCGGGUCUGCAUUCGAUACGGGCAGACUAGAGUUCGGUAGGGGAGUCUGGAAUUCCUGGUGUAGCGGUGAAAUGCGCAGAUAUCAGGAGGAACACCGGUGGCGAAGGCGGAUCUCUGGGCCGAUACUGACGCUGAGGAGCGAAAGCGUGGGGAGCGAACAGG
rnacentral:rRNA from 1 species